CGGGUGAGUAAUGUAUAGGAACUUGCCUAGUAGUGGGGGAUAACGUGUGGAAACGCACGCUAAUACCGCAUACGCUCUACGGAGGAAAGCGGGGGAUCUUCGGACCUCGUGCUACUAGAUGGGCCUAUAUCAGAUUAGCUAGUUGGUAAGGUAAUGGCUUACCAAGGCGACGAUCUGUAGCUGGUUUGAGAGAUGAUCAGCCACACUGGGACUGAGACACGGCCCAG
rnacentral:rRNA from 1 species